rnacentral:rRNA from 1 species
GUGUCAGCAGCCGCGGUAAUACGUAGGCAGCAAGCGUUGUUCGGAGUUACUGGGCGUAAAGAGUGCGUAGGCGGUUUACCAAGUCUGCUGUGAAAUCUCCCGGCUUAACUGGGAGGGUGCGGUGGAAACUGGUAGGCUCGAGUGUGGGAGAGGUAAGCGGAAUUCCUGGUGUAGCGGUGAAAUGCGUAGAUAUCAGGAGGAACACCGGUGGUGUAGACGGCUUACUGGACCACGACUGACGCUGAGGCACGAAAGCGUGGGUAGCAAACAGGAUUAGAUACCCUGGUAGUCC